GACGGAGGGUGCGCGCGUUGUGCGGAAUCACUGGGCGUAAAGGGCGCGUAGGCGGCCUGGAAAGUCAGAUGUGAAAGCCCGGUGCUCAACCCCGGAAUUGCAUUUGAGACUCCCUGGCUCGAGGUCGAAAGAGGAGAGUGGAAGACCCAGUGUAGAGGUGAAAUUCGUAGAUAUUGGGUGGAACACCAGUGGCGAAAGCGGCUCUCUGGCUCGAAUCUGACGCUGAGGCGCGAAAGCGUGGGGAGCAAACAGG
rnacentral:rRNA from 1 species